rnacentral:rRNA from 1 species
AGUCACUGACAUUAGAUACCCGCGUAGUCCAGGGUGUAAACGCUGCAGACUUGGUGUUGGGGCCCUUUGGGGGCAUUCAGUGCCGGAGAGAAGUUGUUAAGUCUGCUACUUGGGAGUACGUCCGCAAGGAUGAAACUUAAAGGAAUUGGCGGGGGAGCACCGCAACGGGAGGAGCGUGCGGUUUAAUUGGAUUCAACACCGUAAACUCACCAGGGAAGACUGUUACAUGAAGGCCGAGAUGAAGACUCUGCUAGAUUUUCAG